CCUACGGGUGGCAGCAGUGAGGAAUAUUGGUCAAUGGGCGCGAGCCUGAACCAGCCAUGUAGCGUGAAGGAUGACUGCCCUCCGGGUUGUAAACUUCUUUUAUAAAGGAAUAAAGUGAGGCACGUGUACCUUUUUGUAAGUAUUUUAUGAAUAAGGAUCGGCUAACUCCUUGCCAGCAGCCGCGGUAAUACGGAGGAUCCGAGCGUUAUCCGGAUUUAUUGGGUUUAAAGGGUGAGUAGUUGGUUUGUUAAGUUAGUUGUGAAAGUUUGCGGAUCAACCGUAAAAUUGCAAUUGAUACUGGCAGUCUAGAGUACAGUUGAGGUAGGCGGAAGGCGUGGUGUAGCGGUGAAAUGCUUAGAUAUCACGAAGAACUCCGAUUGCGAAGGCAGCUUACUAAACUGCCACUGACAUUGAGGCUCGAAAGUGUGGGUAUCAAACAGGAUUAGAGACCCCAGUAGUC
rnacentral:rRNA from 1 species